rnacentral:misc_RNA from 1 species
GAUGAAGAACGUAGCGAAAUGCGAAAAGUAAUGUGAAUUGCAGAAUUCAGUGAAUCAUCGAAUCUUUGAACGCACAUUGCGCCCGCUGGUACUCCGGCGGGCACGCCUGUCCGAGCGUCAUUUCAACCCUCAAGCCCUCCUUCGGGAUGGGCCUGGUGUUGGGGCUCGGCCGCCAUCUCCGGCGGCCGUCCCCUAAAUACAGUGGCGGUCACGUCGCGACUCCUUUGCGUAGUAGAAACACCUCGCUCCGGAUAGCAACGCGGUCCACGCCGUAAAACCCCCAAUUUUCAAUGGUUGACCUCGGAUCAGGUGGGAAUACCCGCUGAACUUAAGCAUAUCAUAAGCGGAGG